rnacentral:pre_miRNA from 1 species
UAUAUACUCCCUCCGUCCUGAAUUAACUGACGUGGAUUUGUAUAAAAAUCUAUAUAAAACCACGUCAGUUAAUUUGGGACGGAGGGAGUACAAU